CCAGAGGUGGCAGAGCGGACAAUUGCACGAGACUGUAAAUCUCGCGCCGUAAGGCUACGGAGGUUCGAAUCCUCCCCUCUGGA
rnacentral:tRNA from 1 species